rnacentral:rRNA from 1 species
UACGCAGGGGGCUAGCGUUGCUCGGAAUCACUGGGCGUAAAGGGUGCGUAGGCGGGGCUUUAAGUCUGUUGUGAAAGCCCCGGGCUCAACCUGGGAAUGGCAAUGGAUACUGGCAAGCUAGAGUGCGGUAGAGGGUAGUGGAAUUCCCGGUGUAGCGGUGAAAUGCGUAGAGAUCGGGAGGAACACCAGUGGCGAAGGCGGCUACCUGGACCAGCACUGACACUGAGGCACGAAAGCGUGGGGAGCAAACAGG